CGGGCAGGCGCGGGGCGACCGUGCAGCAGGCGGCGCGGCGGGCGCGGGGCCCGGGGACCCGGGAGGCGUCGGAUUCUCUGCUCCCCGCUGCUGGGCCGCCCCCCGGGGCUGGGCCGCCACGAGUCCCCAGGGUAAGAACCUGGGCUCGCCAGCCCUAACGGUAUGAACCCAGGUUCCAGGUUUAUGCUUCCAAGGAUUCCAGAACUCUUUGCAGCUCUCCACCCAGGAAGCGGCCAGACUGCUUCCCCCAUCCCUAGCCUGUCCGCCUGUCCAUUCACCUUGUGUAGCCCUCUGAGGCUCUGCUCACCUGUCCACCUAUAGGCUGUCUCUUUGCCUGAAGACUCUGCUCUUACCUGGAAGUCUGUGCCAAGGAGGGACAGAGCCAGGUGGGAAUGCAGCCAGCCAGGUCCCAGAAAGAUGUCAUCAACCUGGUCUUCCAAUACUGGCAAGCUGUGCUCCGGUGGCUUGUGCCUCAAGGACUGUUCUGGAAGGAUGAUGUCACUCAAGAUAUGAAGACCCAGAAGAUAGAGCACAUGCCCAGGCUCCAUGCCUCAGAGACCAGCAUGAGGGAUGGGUAGACAGCCUUUUCCACCAAAACCACCACGCCCAGAUUUGUCUUCUAGGGACAAGUGCAAAGAGGAACUCUGACUGUUGUUCCCUAAGCCCAGUGACCAAGGUGAACAGGGAACAAUGCUUGAACUCUGAAAUGGUUUCAGAGGUCCCGAACCAAGAGAUGACCAACCAUGGCAAGGCCCCACUGCAGGUGAGGACCUGGCUUGUCCAGGAAGGCUGAGCCCACCCAGGGCCUGUUUAUAGAGGGACGCAGGGUGAAGGAGGGAAUAUACAUUGGUUGAUAAAUAAAUGACAAGACUUCACUGAGGCUGAUGGAGAACCUUCUGGAAGAGAGGGCCUGGAGGAUGGAAGAGAACAGAGCUUUUAAUUCAGAGCCAGCUCAGUCCUGGCUCUGCCACUGCCCAGCUGUGACCUUGGACACAUUGCCUAGGCCCUUCAAAUCCCUUCUUCCACACCUGUGAAAUGGUAAUGGUAAUAAAGGCGACCCCUCUGGUGUUGCUGUGUGGCUUAAA